CCUUGGCUACUGCAUGCUGCGGUGGCUGUGUGGGAAACUUCCCUGGGAAAAGAACCUGAAGGACCCCAAGGCUGUGCAGACUGCUAAAACAAAUCUGUUGGAUGAGCUCCCUGAGUCAGUGCUUAAUUGGGCUCCUUCUGGAAGCAGUUGCUAUGAAAUAGCCCAGUUCUUGGAAUGUGCUUAUAGUUUAGCAUAUGACGAAAAGCCAAAUUAUCAAGAGCUCAAGAAAAUUUUGAA